UACGUAGGUGGCAAGCGUUGUCCGGAUUUACUGGGCGUAAAGAGCGCGCAGGCGGUCGUUCAAGUCGCGUGUGAAAGCCCCCGGCUCAACUGGGGAGGGUCACGCGAUACUGAUCGACUCGAAGGCAGGAGAGGGUAGUGGAAUUCCCGGUGUAGUGGUGAAAUGCGUAGAUAUCGGGAGGAACACCAGUGGCGAAGGGCGAACUUCCUGGCCUGUUCUUGACUGCUGAGGCGCGGAAAGCUAGGGUAGCAAACGGGGAUUAAGAACCCGG
rnacentral:rRNA from 1 species